UGAGUCAGCCGGGUGACCGCGACGCCACGGUUCGCCGGGGGCGUCGAGGAAGGUCGGGACUCCACAGGGCAGGGUGCUGGCGAGAGCCAGGUCGGAGCGAUCUGACGGAUCAGGGCAACAGAGAGCAGACCGCCGAUGGCCCGUCAACGACGGGCACAGGCAAGGGUGAAAGGGUGCGGUAAGAGCGCACCAGCGUCGGGAGCGAUCCCGGCGGCUGGCAACCCCCACCCGGAGCAAGGCCGAGCAGUGGGAUGGAUGGCCCGUCCGCCGGAACCCCGGUUCCGGCACCCACGGGUAGGCCGCGCAGAUGGAUGGUCACCGAACGGGACCCCCGCAAGGGACCCGGGAACAGAAUCCCGCCUACAGGCUGGCUCACCGA
rnacentral:RNase_P_RNA from 1 species